rnacentral:lncRNA from 1 species
GAACUUCUCAAGUGCACUGAGGCCAUCGACCGCUAGGGGCGCGCACGGGUCCUCGGGGCCUUUUGCGCAUGCCCCUUGGCAGCCGUCCCGCUUUUAAUGCUGGUGGCUAGCCUUUUAAGGCUAGCGGCGAUUUCGCGGUCUCGGGCGCUGGUUAGUGGAUUAAGGCGGACGGUCUGUUGCGAAACCUCUCUGUUGGGGAGGUUCCAGCAUUUUCAUUAACCAGCAGGAACGGGUUGGGGCCUAUGUGCAAACUGGGAAUGAUGACCCGUUCCUGCCGCAGGGCAGGUUUUGAGGGGAGGGAGCGACAGUAGUCUCGGCGUUCGGGCGGUACUGGUUCAGAUCGCGUCCGUUCCCUGUGCUUUUACUCCGGGCGCGGGGCCCUGACUGUUCCCAGCACCUUCGUUUCCAGAAAGCGUUUUUGCCCAGAGAGUGGAGUGAGAAGAUUUGCUCUGCUUUCGGCUGCUUAUCGGCCAUCUAGCUGAGUCACUUGGAAGCUGUUAAACUAACAAAACAAAACAAAAACAAAACCCCGAAUGAAACAACAACUACACAGCUUCCUGGCCACGGAACCAGGACCUGCGGGGAGGUGGCGGGGCGGCUGCCUUUGAGCGAGCGCUCCGGAAGAGGCCGGUGUCUGGUUAGGGCUGGACCUCCCGGGGUAGGGCAGCCCGGCUCCUCCCGCGGCGCCCACGAGUGGAAGGCGCGCAGUCAGCACGGUUGGGAAGAACGACUGAAUUAGUCACUGUCUUCAGAGGUCGAAGGGAGGUUUCACAGCCGAUGAUAAGCCGUGUUGACAACUCUUGGGAAAUGGGCUGUCGCUUUGAGUGUAUAUUACUACAACUUUUUAAGGAGUGUAAAUUGUGUUCUCUCUCUCAGAAUUGAAAGUGCCAUUACCUUCCACCUGGGAAUUUCAUCUAUAGGAAUCCAUCCAAAAAUAUAUGUACAAUUUCACCGAAGCAUUAUUUGUAAGAGGGGGAGAAAAAGAGCAUGAGACAGACUUUCCUGUAGCCAGUAACAGGAAGGCUGCUAUUAGAGACAGCCAGAAGACCUUGCUGGGUGAAGAAGACGAGCUGCAGACCAGUAUACAUAAUAUGACCCUAAAAGAUUCACACGCGCAUGUUUCUAUGUGUAAAGACAACUUCUGGAAGGAUUCGAAAGUAACAACUGACAGUAAUUACCUCUGAGGGGAGGGGUCGGAUUGCAUGGGAGAGAGAUAAUACGUUUCAAUUUGUCCCUUGCCAUAUUGCUUGGAUUUUUAAAAACCACGACCAUGCAUUACUUUUAAUAGCCUUUAAGUCUGGUUUAGUAAUGGCAUUGCGGUCUCCAGUGCUGGUUAGUGGAUCAAGGCAACUAAUCUGUCAUGAAACCUCUAUGUCAGGAGAUUCCAGCACUUUCAUUAACCAGCAGGAAAGGGGUGGCGCACAUUUGUAAAUCAGGAAGAAUGGCCCCGUUCCUGUCGAAGGGCUGUUGGAGGGGUGGGGAGCAACAGUUAACACUAUUGUUAAUUGUUCAAAAGUUGGGGGGACUUUUCUAUGGAAGAGAAAAUCAACUUAUUCCAAGAAGCUGUGGAGGGAAGAACUCUAACCAAUUUUGAGACAGUUUUAGCUAAAAAUAAGGAAAAACUUUGCUGGGCAUUAGGCUGAGGCUGGCAUGGAGAAGACAGUGUGUGCUUCAGAAAGGAGUGUGGCCUAGAUAGCUCUUCCAGCUGUGAGAUCCCAUAGGUCUUUGGGGGUGCCGGGUCAAGUGCUCUGAUGUCAGACUACCUGGUUUGACUCAAAUCCCACUGCCACUAAAUAGGGCUGUGUGACCUUAGGUGAGUUGUCUAACCUCUCUGUACCUCAGUGUUUUCAUAUGCGUGGUGGGGAUAAUGAUGACACCUACCUCAUCUACCUCAUUCUUGUAGGAUUAAAUGAGAUGGUACAUGUAAAACAUUUACUGCAGUUCCUGUUAAAAAAAUGUUAGCAUUUCUUUGCUAUCUUAUACGAUGGAUUGACACAAAAAAUUAAAAAGAGGAGCUGGGCCAGUGGCAUAGUUGUUGGGUUCCAUGCACUUUGCUUUGGCAGCCUGGGUUUGGGGGUUUGGAUCCCUGACGUGGACCUAUACCACUCAUCAGCCAUGCUGUGGUGGCGACCCACAUACAAAAUAGAGGAAGAUUGAUGCAGAUGUUAGCUCAGGGUGAAUCUUUCUCAGCAAAAAAAUAAAAAGAAAAAAAUAAAAAGAAUCUGAGAAAUAAUUCCUACUAUUGGAACGGCUGUUUUAUUUUUACACCUUUAAGUAUUUGUGGAAACAGCCAAAUAUUGGAUUUUCAGGAUUAAUGGAAUUAGUGGAUUGGUGGAAUUGCAUACACACUGGAUGAUUUUGCUUACAGAGGGAAUGGUUGAGGUUUUUUCCAGAUGCUGGCUCAGUGCUGCCGCAUAGUGGCCAAUCCUAGGAAUGGCUACUUGGAUAAAUUGGCCUCUUCUUCCCAGAGCGCUGUGUGCUAGGGUGUGUGAGGCAGGCAGGCAGGGGGGCCCAGCUGUGGGCCCAGGGGUGAGUGGGUCAGUCCACACCUUGGAAAGGAAAGGCGUGUUUGAGUGCCCACCAGUGACCCAGGCAAGAGGAAACCCAGUGCGCUUGACUGUAGUCUCACCUCCUGUGUAAUUUACUUAGCACAUUUGACUUUUCCUCUUAAGACACUCAAGUUCAUCUUGUCUAUAAACAACGUUACUGAGCUGCUCUGCCGUCUGGUGUGCCCUUGGCUUUCCUCCAACGUUGGUGGAAGAAACAGCACAUGAAAACCACUUCCUCUUUGGCCAUAAAACUUAGAGAGGCCGCAGUGUCCUUACUGUUCCCGAAAUAAGCUCUUGUGUGAAAAAUUCUUUUCAAAUUUAGGGCUAGGAGAAAGUUUGUAUCCUCUGGUGAGCUCUGUGACUUAUGAUGCUCGCUUCUCUGCUCCAGCUGUUGAGAAAGAGCGCGAGUGUGAUGCCCAGUCUUAGCGAUUAAGUAGGCCCAAAUGGAUCAUGUAUUUGCUUCCGCCUCCUUUUCUUGGUACUGCCUUAAAAAAAAUGUUUUUUUGUGGAUCUUGUAAUUUCACUGACUUCGUUGACUUCACCGCACAUUUGUACUUUGGUCUAUGCUCUCAUAUCCUUUCAAGAAAGAGGUAAAGGAUCCAUCCAUGAAGUGGAAAGUGGAAUAUUUGAAGUUUUUUUUUUUUCUGGUGAGAAGUUUUUUGAGAUGAUUUUAAGUCAGUGGUUGCACUUGCAUUUUUGAGACUAACAAGUUUAUGGGUCAAAGAUUUCAAAUCAUAAUUUUCUUUUACUUGGGAAAAUGAGAAGCUCAUGCAAAUAAGGCCGUCAAGGAAGUUGUGAGGUGUGGACAAAAGAUCAGAAGCUAUUAAGGUUCAUUUCCUUAUCCACUGCCACCAAGGAUAAUAUUGCAUCAGCAUUCACAUUUAGAGAUGGAAAGUUGGGAGACUAUUUGGUCCCAAAAUAUUUUUCCACUGCUGUCUGGAAUGCCUGCGUUAGGGCUCGCCUCCUUGUAGUCGUCUUUAAGUAUAAAAAUUGUCCUGGGAGGGUUAGGGUAUCAGUUCCUUGGUACCUUGGAGCCAAUAAGUGGAGCCCCAGGUUCUCCCUUCUGCAGAUCCUUUCAGAGUCUGGGUUUUUGCCUUCCCACCAAGAGAAAUGGCUCCUUGGGAGAGCAGAGGCUGGUGGGUGAGAAAGCUCUGGUUCAGCUUCAACUGUCUGUGUGACCUUAGAUAAGCCCCAGGACCACUCUGGUCCCCCCCACCCCUCCCAGCAUGAAGGGCUUGCAAGGACACUUCUGCCUUCUGCGUAGCCAGUCCAGCUCCCUCCCAGGGCCCUGCGAAGACGACUCUGCAGCCUGGGCUGGUGGAGUCACCUUUCAGCCCUCCGGCGCCUCGGCUCCUCUGUUUACUCUCCAGUAAAGCCUUCGUCUGUUUACUCAGCAAAGAUUCUUUUAAGACAGGCUAAGCACACGGUUUGCUCUGCUAACAAGCCUUGGCAUUUAUUGUGAGGACCUUUGUUGACUUAUUCUUGAGUCUCCAUUGACAUUCACUGGGAAACGUUAACGCAAACAGAGGAGACAUCCUGGGAGCUCCAGGCCUGGCAGAGUGCUCCAGGAAGGGCCAUCCUUUCUGUUUUGGUUAGAACCAUCUUGAGAGUUAAAAAUAACAAUCAUAUACGCACCAUAAAAGAUUCUAAUGAUCUUUUAGUUUCUAGGAUCAGUAUCUGAGCACUUCUGCAAAAGGUCUCUAGAAAGCUUGCUGUGUUCAUUCUGGACAAGAGGGCAGCUGUGCCAGCCACUUUGCAGACCUCCUUCCAGGCGCAGAGUCCUCCAGCAUGCUGGGAACCGCAGCGCAGCCACAGAGAACCUUGGGCUGGGGGUUCAAGUACAGCCCCGCCUCUAGGUGGCCGUGGGAUCUUGGGACAGUCACUUCCCCUCUCUGGCUCUCGGUUUUCUCAUCUGUAAGGUGAGGGGAAGUGGUCCACAUGCUCAUCUUCCCAGCUGGACUGGGCCCUAGGCCCGAGCACAGGUCCUAAGAGUACUCAACAAUGUUUGUUGAAUAAAUGGUGAAUAAGCCACUCCAGCCCAUCUCUCCCGCCUUGCUCUGACAUCCUGUGCCUGAAGCCUCCCAAGAGACAGCCUUGGCCUUGAGUCAUAGUCUGACAGGAUCUGCUAAUGGGGUCAUUGCAGACAACCACAAACCCUCAACGUCUGAAUCAGCCGUUGCGGCUGCUAAGUGGUUUCACCUGCUCCACCUCUCGCCUCCUCUGCUCCCCAUCCAAGCUGGUGCUUGUAAAGGAAACAUCUUUCCAGUUCCUGCGAGGUUGGGAAACACCAUCCUUUCCAGGUGGGCAGAUGAGGGCAGCCAUGCUCCUGUCCCCCCAUCACUCUGACCGCUGGAUCCUGUGACGUGGUGAGAUCGGCUCAGUCCCCACCUCCUCUAGGAAGUCCACCGAGAUGGAUGCAAGCUCCAAGAGUCUCCCCAUUGUGGCCUCAUUUUCCUAAUGACUAGUUUUUCUAAUUCCUUCCUCCUCCGUGUCUUAAGCCCUGCACAGACUGCUCAUUUCGUAGUAUGUAAGGCAUCUCGCCACUGGAAGGCACUGUGGUAUGGUGGUUAUGAGGCUGGCACCUGGAGCCAGGCUGCUUAGGUUGGAAUCCUGGCUGCACAUCUUGCAGGCUGUGUGACUUUGGACAACUUGCUUGCCUCCUCUGAGCCUGGAUUUCCUUAUUAUACCUCAUGUGUUUCUGUGAUAAUUGAGUGAGGUAAUGCAGGUGAAGGUCAGGUGCCCAAUAAACAACAUGCAGAUGAGGAAACUGAGGCUCAGGAAGGAGAGGAGCUCAACUGUAGGGUGCUUGCCACGUAUGGGAGUCUAGACAUGCCCCGGCAGAGAGGGAGCCACUCUUGUCUCUGUUUGGCAGAUGAGGGAACCGAGGCUCAGUUCCCACACGUCUGCAGGACUAUGAAGAAUUGGAGUUGGGUUGCUGACUCCAGUGUCCGAUACAAAGUCCAGAGCUCCUCUGCCUGCUUGGUGACAGGAGGGUAGGAAGAUGUGGGGUUUGGGGGCCCGUAGGCAAGGAGCUCAAAGCCCAGAAUAAACAUUCUUACAUUUUUCUCUGCUGCUUUGCCCAAACCGCAGGAGGAUUUUCAAGAGAACAGGGUGUUAGUGAGAGGAUGGGCUGACAGGCUGCCCUUUGGCAUUAAAAGAUUUGCAGAAGAGAGUGGGAGUGAGCAGCAGGGGGCGCUGUGACACCAGACAAGAGCCGAGGCCUCCCCGGGAACAGAGCCAGGCUCCCCGGCUCCUGAGUGGACCUUAGGCAGGCUGCAGGACAGGAGCCUGCCUGUCUGCUCAGGGCUCUUUCACCCGAGGACUGGGAACCAGAGGAGUCUCCCGAAAUCUGGCUGUGUGGGCGUUAGGAGCACUGACUCUGGAGUCAGCGGACUUGUAUUUGAGAGCCUGCUCAGCUCUUUCUCGUGAGUGAUCCUGGGCAAGUCACUUCACUGCUUGGAGCCUCAGUGGCCUCACUGAAAAAAAUUAAUACCUGUCUCCAGGACUGUGGGGAGGAUGAACGCGAUGAUGCAGGUCCCUUUCUUAGCAGGAUGCCUGGCGCCCAUGAUCGCCCAGUGAAUGGCAGUGAUUAUUGCUAAUGAGACAUAUAUGAUUUGCAGGGUGGUGUCCCAAAGAGGUGAGGCCCCUGCUCUCCAAGGUCGAGGGUGCUGUGCUGCUCUGGCCCACCUGUGAUGGCCCUUCAGUGGGCUCACCCUCUAGACACUGACCUGUCUGUGUCUCUUUCUGCCCAAGCAAACUGCCCACCCCCAAGGGCCCUGCUUGUGGACGGAGGCCUAUGAAUCCCAUUUGGGCCAACAGCUUGCAGAGGUCAGAGGCGGGUGGUGUGGUCUCUGCCCUGCUCUGGACUCGCUCUAAGUCUCUUGUGCUCUCUGGACCUCGAUUUCUCCAUGUACAGCUGGAGGGGCUGCCGGAGAUAAGUAUUGGGGUCCCUCUCAGUCUAGCAUCAGAAAUCUAGGAAGCUGUCCCCGUCCUGCAAACAUAUUUAUGCUUUAGCACACCCUUUGCUGCGAAACCGCAAAGUAUGGCCUGACAGAGGGAAUGGGCGGACUCCCAGCUGAGGCCCAUGGAGGAGAGAGCUUCUGGUGACUUCCCUCAGAGGGAAGAUCUAGAGGUGAGCUGGGCCUUCCUCACUGUCCAGCUCGCCCCUCCCGUGUCUCUGUACCAUGUGGCGCUCACCCAGGGUUCAGAGUCCCGUACUCUCUACCCCCAGCGUGGUCUGCUCUGAGGGAGAGUCUGGUGGGCUAGUUUCCCCUAAGGUGGGAAUGACUGGUAGGGCUGGUGCUACCCGUUCUGAGGGCCUUUCAACUUGGGCAGCGACAGAGUUUUUAUCCAGAGAAAUUAAACUCUAUUUAUGGAAUCCCAGCAGGAGGCUCUGAAGGUGGAAGGAUGUUGCCUCCACUGAAAUCGCAGUGGCCUCCGUCCCCAGGCCUGGCUCUGCGAGAUGGGGCUGCUGGGAAAACUGGUUCAAAAGUCCACGGCACACAGCAACCAAAGAAAAAUACAUAAAUUGGAUUUCAUCAAAAUUAAAAAUGUUUCUGCUUCAAAAGUCGUCAUCAAGAAAAUGCAGAGUCAAUGCAGAGAAGGAGAGAAACAUUUGCACAUCAUAUAUGUGAUAAGGGGCUUGUAUCCAGACUAUAUAAAGAACUCCUACAACUCGACAACAAAAAGACAAAUGACUCAAUUAAAAGUGAGCAAAAGACUUGAAUACAGAUGUCUCCCGACAAGAUAUGCAAAUGGCCAAGAAGCACAUGACAGGGUGCCGCACACCAUCAGUCAUCAGGGAAAUGCAAAUCAAAACCCCGACGAGAGACCACCUUAUCCCCACUAGGAUGCUGUUAUCAAAAAGACAGACAAUAACAAGGGCUGGUGAGGAUGCGGAGAAAGUGGAACCCUCACACACUGCUGGUGGGAUGUUAAAAUAGUGUAGUCACUUUGGAAAAACAGUUUGGCAGUUCCUCAGAAAGGUAAGUCUAGAGGGACCAUAUGAUCCGGGAACAACUAGGUAUAUGCCCAAGAAAACUGAAACAUAUCCACACAAAAACUUAUAUACAAAUGCUUAUAGCAGCAUAAUUCAUAAUAGCUAAAAAUAGCCAUUGAUCAACUCUCCAUCCACUGAUGAGUCCAUAAAUUGUGGCAUAUCUAUGUAAUGAAAUAUUAUCCAGUCAUUAAAUGGAAUGAAGUACUAUACGCUCUACAACAUAGAUGAACCUUAAAAUGUUAUUUUAAGUGAAGAAGUCAGACACAAAGGGCCACAUGUUGUAGGAUUCUGUGUAUAUGAAAUGUGAAGAAGGGGUAGAUCCAUAAAGACGAAAAGUAGAUUAGUGGUUGCUGGGGCUUGGGGAGGAGGAUGGGGGUGACUGCUAAUGGGUACAAGGUUUCCCUUUGGGGUGAUGAAAAUGUUCUGGAAUUAGCAGUGAUGGUUGAACAACUUCGUGAAGAUACUAAAACCCACUGAAAUGUACACUUUAAAAGGGUGAAUUUUAUGAUAUGUGAGUGUAUCUCAAUUUUUUAAAAAGCCCAUGGAAAGAAUGGUGGGGUCCUUGAAACCUUUGAUGGAUAAUAAAUGCCCCCUCCCCAUGUCCUGUCCCCACCACCCUAGCGCAGGUGGUGACUGGGUUCUUUAGGGUAAUUUUUCCAUGAAGAUGGAAAAGCCCCAAGGGGCACUUCAAACGUCUGGGGUGUUUCUGGUGGUCACGAUGUUGAGGGGGUGCUGCUGUCAUUGGGGGGCCUGUGCGGAGACGGAUGGUGGACAUUUUGCCAUGCCUGGGGCCAUCUGACAAUGAAGAGUUGUCUUGCUUUCCACAUUAUUUCAGAAUGUCUCUUAGAACAAUGAUGUAGAUGAUUAUCUGAGCUAAAAACUAAACUCUGCUUUCCAUAAUAGACACCAAAUAUAUUUGCAAGGUUUUGACAUACGCUGAAUUUCCCGGGAAUAGUGCUACCAUGUAAAUUGGGAAGAUCAGACAGUAUCUCCUGCUUAAUGUCAGUAAUCUAUCCCCGAAAAUGAGCUAUUCUAUGAAAAUGCUUCUGGGAACGUCUUCUCUUCCCAUUCCUUUCAUCUUGUUUAUUUUCUUUCCAUUAUUUUUAAAGGAGAAAAAUUAUAUCAUUACUUGCCAAGCCCAUUCCCUUAACCAAUUUCCUAGAUAACUAAAAUCCAUUAAAAUGCUUCUGUAUAUAACAAAUGAUCAUAUGAGGUUGUAAGACACUCAAAGCUUUGCUUCCUGGUCACCCCGUAAUUAACAUGGACAUUAACAAGCAUUGCUCUGUACACAGGAAUCUGGCCUCUCUUAGCACCAUGACAGCCAAGAGGCACGAUCCACCACGACAGCCAAGAGGCAUGAUCCACUUCGUCGCUAUUUUCAUAUUUUUCAAAACACAACUUGAUUUGGAUCUUUGGCUAAUUGUAUUUGGAAUGUAUCUCGAUUGUUUUCCUGUACUUUGUUUCACUAAAAAAAUGUUGUAUUGAAUUGUGGAGACAUACACAUACAUUUUUUCCUCCCGUAUAAAUGCCUGCCCAAAUCCUGUACUGAAGACACAUGUGUUCUAUAAAGGAGUGAUCUACAGGGAGACCUGAACUUGAUCCUCUCUGGGCACUGGAGGGAACGUGAUCCCCUAGUCGGAGCUCAAAGGACCUUGGAAAAUGUCUGUCCUCCUUCAGUUCACAGGCAAGAGACAAAGGGUCGGAGGACUUGUCUCGGGUCACAUAGUCCCCAUGGCAGAAUUUGGCUGGGAGCGUAGGCUCCUGGCAUCCUGUGCUCUGCACUAGGACUUCAGGCUGGCAUUGGAGCAGCCCGUGGAAAUACAGGCCACCAGACAGGUUUGGUGGAUCGGUCACUUUGCCUUUGACCAAGCAACCUCCAAACAGCAAGUAAGCGAUAUAUCAUGUUGUCCCUGUGUUGGAAAGUAAAGGUCAGUGCAUUCUUGGUAAACAUGCUGACUGGCUAUUUACAGAACUCAGCAUGGGACCAGACUGGACGUCUGAACACGGUCAAGUCAGGGCUGUGGCAGCUGAGCAGAGAGGCUGGGGGCUUGGGGCCCAGUGGUCUGAAAACCCUGUCUGUGCACAUUUUGCUGGAGAUGAGGAGAGUUUGGGGCAGCCCCCGCUUUAGAGAAAGCCAAGCCUGUGGUCACAGGGGAGCUGCUUCCUGGACAGCAAUGCAGGUUGAUCCUGGUGGGGAGGCAUCUUAGCCUGGGUUCCCUAAAGCAGAGCCCAAGUUGGAGGCCUACGUGGGAGGAGUUUCUUCAAGAAUGGGACUCCAGGGAAGCCGGGUGCAGGCUGCAGGAGUGAGGCAGGGAAGGAGUAACCAGUACAGAAUGCUAGAUGGAGCUGCCUUGGCUCCGUCUCUCGGGGCCUUCUGUAAAGCCUCAUGAAACGAGUCUCAGAACGGCCUGCCGGGAAGAAGGGAUACCGUUUAUUCAUCCCCCUUUGAUCCAGGGUUACCUGUGGGGCGUUCAUCACAUGAGCAUCAAGGGGUUGCUGCAGGCAUCCUUGCCUCCCUGGGGCAGGAGGAGAGAGGAGGGGGGCGUGAUGAGGACCCAAGUGAGACUCAGGCAGGUUGUACCUUCACAAAACCGAGCAAAGCUUGUGAGGAACUAGUGAUGUGGGGCCAGUGUGGGUAAGAAAUGAGACUGAGGGGCUCUGAAGUGGUGCCAGGGGGGGUCAGUACAAGUGGCUCAUCCUUUAGAUCUGGACCCAGACGUCACUGCCCAGACUAAGUUAGUGCUCUCUGUUACUGGCUCUGAAAGUGCCUUCCUUAAACUGUAUCUUUGUAACACUAUCAUCGUUUAUAACAUUGUAUUUAUUUGUGCGAUUAUUGAAUAUAUGUUUCCUUCUCUAGGCUGCAAGCCUCAAGCAAGCUCCUGGCAUGGCCAGCAUGGACGAGGGGCAACACUUUGGCCAAACUGAUCACCCAGGGCUCCCCCUUCCUGCUUCCUUUGCUCCAGCUUCUCAGCUCUGAAGACACCCAGGUCCCUCUGUGCCCCAGCUUGCCUUAGCGUUCUCCUGCUGAGAGUGCCCUCUCCACAUAUCCCCAGGGCCAUCUCCUAUUGAUUCAACAGUUUGGCCUAAAUGCUAUCUCCUUCAGAGGGCUUCCUUAUGUUACUGUCUCCAGGUUGGGAAAGAAAAGCACUGUCUCUCUCCUUCCCUCUUCCUCCAUCUCCUCCGUCAUUCUGUCUCCCCCUACAUGCUCUUUCCUACUCUCAUAACCUUGCCGCAGGCUUGUCUUCUCUGCUGAAUUACAUUGCUUGCUCCUUUAGGGCGGGAGACACGCCACAUCCAUUUUCGUGUCUUCCCCAACCCCUCUACUGUGUCUGGGGUGAGCACAUUAACUCCGAGGCAGCCAGAGUGCCCAGCCCCUGAAAACCUGAAGGAGACUGCUUGAAGCCUUAUUUCAUCCCCUGGGAACCCACAGCCCUUUAAGAUGCAACUUCCUGCAAAUCGUCACCAUCCACUUUGGCUCCAGACUCCUGCCUCUGUGGGAGCUCAUUUUCCUUUCAGCUGCUCCCUUCUCUCUUCCCUGGACUUGACUCAAACACAGGGCCUAGGUCUUUCUCCUUGGUCGUCUACUCCAAAGUCACACAAGCAGUAGAAACCUUCCUGAAGGUUCUUGGGUCACCAGAAGGUGCCUCAUUGUCCUCCUUAUAGUGAUAACCUCAGUAAUAUUUCAUGUUAUACAUUUUACCUUAUGAAAAGUUCUGCCAGCUUCCAUGCUAACUGGCUCUUCUUCCCCCUCUCCUCUCGGGAGCUCAGCCCUCCUGCUCUGGAGCAAACAAACCAGGUUCCUCCCAGGCCAGCUCUGCAGGGCGAAGGUGAACCCAGGGGGCUGCCUGUAACAGAGCCUGGCCUCAGCAGGAGGCACUGGAGCCGGGCCUAUGUGGGACCCCAGAGCCCCCUCCACGGUCCUCGCAGGAUUCUGGGAACCCCAGUCCUGGUAGGUUUGGCCUCCCUGCCUCUCCCUGCCUGAAGGGCCUUCUCUCUCCUCACGGCAACUCCAAUGGGACCUGGCGCGGCUUCAUCCCACUGCGUGGAGUCAGAUCCCAAACAAACCGCCUUUCUUGGGAGACCAACACCCUGGAACCCACUAAUCUCCUCCAGCAGCUUCGUGUCACUCUCUGUGAUCUUAAUCUCUCCUGGCAGGACUUGAUGGAAAAAGCAUCCAGGGGAAACCAGAUCUUUCUGAGCAAAGCCAGGCUGCCUCCCCGCCUGCUCCCUUGCACCACUGGGCCUGCUCUGCCCAUGGAAAGCUCACAGCGCUCCACGCUCUCCUGCUCUCCUCUCAUUACUGCGGGCUCUGCCUGCCCCAGGAUGGGACUCUGGGCCCUGGGCCUUCAGGGCAAGGGCUCCAGCUCAGCUCCUCUGCAAGGAGGACGAUGUGUGGGGAAGAGGGAAGAGUGGGCUUUCAGAGCAGAGGACCUGGGUUUGCAUUCCUGCCUACCAGCGCUGCACAGGCAGGGAAGGUCACGGAGAAGUUGGCUGUGUGACCUCAGGUGAGUCUGCCAACCAUUCUGCGCCUCAGUGUGCUCACCUGUAACCCGGGCGUAAUGACAGUGCUGCUGCCUCACAAGUCACAGCGAGCACUAGUAAGAGGAGGUCGGGGGGUGCUCUGCGGACUUCAAUUAGCCACUCAGCUUAAUGGCCCCACUCACUGCGUGACCUCGGGAAGGUCACUCCCCUCUCUGGCCUCAGUUUCACCGUGUGUGAAGUGAAGAGGGUGGAUGAUUGAGCUCAAGCACGGUCUUUCCAGUGGACAACGUUUUGACAAGAUAUGAGUUUUGACAAACGUAUGCAUCACCAUCAAGGCUCAGUUCAGCCUCCCCAGAGCGUCCUCUCGCGCCCCUUCACAGCGAUCUGCUGUCUGUUCCUAUGGCUGGAAUGUUGUACGGUGGGAUCCUACGGAUCAGCUCCCUUGCAUCUGGCUGCCUCCACUCAGCACGGUGUCUGUGAGAUUCAUCCAUGUUGUUGGGUGGAGCAGUUGUCUGUGCCUUUGUCAUACUGAGGAGUACUCCGUCGCAUGGCUAGACCACAAUUCGUUCAUCCAUUCACCUGUGCCGGGACGUUUGGGCUCUUUUGGCUUUUUUCCAGUUUUUGGCUAUUGUGAAUAAAGUGCCUGUGAAUAUCCAUGUACUGGUUUUUGUGUGAACACAGGUUUUCAUUUCUCUAGGUAAACAGCAGGGAGGGUAUUGCUGAGUCAUGUGUUAAGGAUGUGUUUACCUUUGUAAGAAACUGCCAAACUGAUUUCCAAAGUGGCUGGACAGCUCUGCACUCCCACCAGCAGUGCGGGAGGGGUCCAGUGGCUCCACAUCCCCAUCAGCACUUGGUAUUGUCUGUCUGGGUUCCUUCCUUCUGCUGCUCUCCACUCCCUGCCGAUCCUGGAGACCCAAGGCCUGCCAAUGCCUCCUCUCCUCCCAGGCCCUCCCAGCCCCUCUGCCCCGCUUCUCAGGCCUGCCUUAGGCCAGCAGCCUCGGGGGCGGGGGGGUUGUGGUUCUGGGGAGACAUAGAAACUUUCAGGCUCAACUUGUUUGGAGACCUGGCCUGAGAUGUAAUUUCACGUGCAACCUUUCAACUCCGCAAAGCAGGUGAACUGGGGCCUUUUUAGAAUCACCGGCUUCCGCAGGGCCAAGAAUUUUGUUUUGCUCAUUUUAAUUGUGACUUUCUCUUUCUUCAGGUCUAUGCUCAACUGUCAGCUUCUCGGAGAGGCCAUUGCUGCCAGCGGGUGCAGAACCAGACUUUGUGGGGUCUGAAGAUUAUCUAAUUUUAGAGUGCUCUUUAGGAAAAAGAAUCCAUGAUUGGGGAUACAAAUUUUGGUAGGGAAGGAUUGAGAAUGGGCACAAGAAGGAUCCUGAACACACAGAGAGCUCUGAGCUUAAGCUUGAUUAGCUUUGGGCGAGUCCACCUCUGCUGGCCCCAUUAAAUGAAUCAGGCAUCCUGCCCCUCGUCUCUCUGGUCCAGCCCUGUGCCUUGGCUUCUUUCUCUUGACAGUGUGCAGUGUCACCCAAUGUCAUACUCUAUCUCUGUUUGGUCUCUCUGUCUCCCCCACAGGAACGUACUCUCUGUGAGGGCCAGGUUAGUCCACUCCUGUAUCGCCAGCACACCCAGAACAGUACUUGGAACAUGAUGGACACUCAGUAAAUAGUGAUUAAACAAAGGGAGAAAUGCUUUCCACAUGCUGCUGGUAUUCUCUCUGUAGAAAUGAGAUCGAGUCUUAAAAGUGAAUCAAUGCAUAGAAAAAGAGGACGCUCAUAGUGGUGUGCGCAGAAAUGGCCGAGGCCACAGGGAUGGACGUGUGAGAUGCUCUGGGGUGACAGAAUAGGAAACUGGCAUUUACUGAGCACCUGCUCUGGGCCUGGCAUUUUCUACACAUUGUUGUCCUAAACUCUCACAGUAACCUUUGAGGCGGCACCAUUAUCCCCAUUUUGCAGGAAACCGAGGCACAGCAGGGCGAAGUCACUCGACCACCUGUCACAUUGCUGGUGAGUAGGACGCUGGAAUGUCCACCCAGGUUUGCCCUUUCUCUUGCCUCAGGGUGCCUAGACAAGGCCCCACUCCGUCCUCUGAGCCCCUUAAAGCUCUUCACUCCGUGUUCCAAGGGGAGGAGGGGCCUCCGAGGGUCAAGUUCUCAGAGCUGAACCCAAGGUGAGCAGGGUUACACGGCCUGGAGAAGGGAGAGGAUCGUGUCCUCUAACUGCACAGCGGGGAGGGCAAAGGGAGGCUCUGUCACCUCCUGAGCAAGAGCCCUGCCCAGGUCAACUUAAACUAGUCUAUCCUGGAAGGGAACUGUGUUUGUUGUUAAACAAAGUCCCAGGGGCUGGGCCCCAAAGAGGGCGAGCUCUGAGCAGCUUCCAGGGCUUGACUUGAUUUAAAGAGAAUAGGGAGCGUGCCAGGAACCCAGAAACGCUUCCUGCCCCAGAUGCCAGAAAUUCCCCCAGCCCCGCCCCUGAGCACGUGGGGAGCCGCUGCACCUGUCCCUGUCAGAGCUGCCUCCUUCGCUCCUGUGGACACCAACCCACCCACUUCACAGGUAGGCCCGAGGACUAAUUACAGUCAUGGCAUACAGAAAAGCACUAAACACCUGUGGAUUCUCUCUCCUCCCUGACUUCUAAAAAGAUCUUGAACUUUGGGUUUGUGACUAAUGUCAGCCUGGUAACCCUUCAUUGCUCCUGCCUGGAACACUCACCUUUGCCCCAGCUCUGCAUAUGAUGUCAUCUUCAUCCCAGUGUCAUCAUUUUGGUCAUAGCAGCCUUUUGUUUAGGACCCAGUCUGUGCCAGGCACUGCUCAUCUAUCACCUUUUGUCCUGACCACAAUUCUGCAAAGUAAAGUUUAUUAUUCCCAUUUUGUGGAUGGAGAGACUGAGGCCCCCCAGACCACAAGCAGUGCAGCUGGGCUGAGGAGCACAGACCUUGCUCCAUCUCCCAGGUCACUUCUCUUCUCUCCUGUCUUUCUCCUUACUCUACUCCAAG